ensembl:misc_RNA Y_RNA Y RNA
GGCUUAAGUGCUGUGGUAUUUACAACCAAUCAAUCUCAACUAGUGGCAGAUUUCUUAGUUCUUUCUCCAUUCCCACCGCUUCACUUUACUAGCCUUAA